AGUGUGCUGCGCAAUUUUAAGUUUGUAGGAUACAUUAAAUCUGGUUGUUGUCCAUCACAGUCACUAGUAGAGCUACGAAGCAUAUAAAUUAUUUGUAAGUUUCCUCAAUUGGUGUCAUGGAUAGAGUUGUGAUACAUAUCUGUAUGCAAGUCAAUACCUGAAAGCUGUAGGUUAUGUCCCCUGUUCAGGAAGGUGCAGUUUAUGUAUGCGUGUUUUAUUGUUUUCUCUUCAUUGAAGCUCUUACAAAAUCAGGAACUUGUAGCACUACAAACGCCAAGUUUGAGAAGUGACACUGCUACACCACAACCCUCUCCAUCGAGAGGUCCAAUCCAAGCAUGUUGGUGAAUGGAUCCUUCCAAGCCCAAGAGGAUGCUGGUACUCCGCUGACAGAUCCUUCCCAUGCUGAAGUCCAUGCUCAUGCUACUCAUCUGGAUGAGCAUGGUUCUACUCCAAGACAGGGAUGCAUCAAACUAGUUCAUGUGUUAAUAAUUUAUGAUAAGAAACAAUCUAUUUAAUCAGUGCCUGUGUACUUCAAUCAGUGGUUGCGGCCUGCUUAUGUGCUGCUCUGUUUCUUUCUCUGUAAAAUGUGGUGCUAGUGCUGUCCUUGUAGUCUAGUGCCAGUGCAGUGCACAACUGCAUGUAUAUGUCUUUUACACAUAUUUGCUCUGACUGUGCUAUAGGUCUUGUUGAUGAUUGGCACAUAAACCUAACCAUUUGUCGCACUAUAGAUGCUAUACAGCAAGCUGGAAUGGAUGGAUGGGAAAUACCCGAAGACCAUCGCGCCUUUCAAGAUGAGCUGAUGGAUGGUAGUGAUGUGGUGAAUGGAACCUUCCAAGCCCAAGGGAAUGCUGGUACUCCAUUGACAGAAUCUUCCCAUGAUGAAGACCAUCCUCAUGCUACUCAUGCGGAUGAGCAUAGUUCUACUCCCAACAUUUAGGAAUCCCAGUAGUAUAAUUAGUGGUUAAUAUUGUGAAAUAGGGUGCAGGUAGGCUUUCUUUGUCAAUUGUUUCUCCUGGCAAUUUAGGAAUCAACUAGUAUGCGU